AAUAAAUAAUGAUAUUUGGAGGUACUUUAUUUUUUCAUUUUGAAUUUGUUUUUUAUCAAAACAAUUUUUACUUUGCCGUAUUCCGUGACGUGUCGGUCCCGCGUUGUGUAGAUUGAUCCCAUUUUAACACCUACCGGAAAGAAGCUUCAAGA
rnacentral:ribozyme from 1 species